UGGGGAAUAUUGCACAAUGGGCGCAAGCCUGAUGCAGCCAUGCCGCGUGUAUGAAGAAGGCCUUCGGGUUGUAAAGUACUUUCAGCGGGGAGGAAGGGAGUAAAGUUAAUACCUUUGCUCAUUGACGUUACCCGCAGAAGAAGCACCGGCUAACUCCGUGCCAGCAGCCGCGGUAAUACGGAGGGUGCAAGCGUUAAUCGGAAUUACUGGGCGUAAAGCGCACGCAGGCGGUUUGUUAAGUCAGAUGUGAAAUCCCCGGGCUCAACCUGGGAACUGCAUUAGAAACUGGCAGGCUAGAGUCUUGUAGAGGGGGGUAGAAUUCCAGGUGUAGCGGUGAAAUGCGUAGAGAUCUGGAGGAAUACCGGGGGCGAAGGCGGCCCCCUGGACAAAGACUGACGCUCAGGUGCGAAAGCGUGGGGAGCAAACAGG
rnacentral:rRNA from 1 species